CGCCAGUGAUGACAAAUCAAACAACUUUUCUGACACCUACUAUGACAGCUGACAUUCAGCUUGUGAUUCAAAGUUUUAACACUGAGGCUU